GAGAAAGUAAGCAAGGGCAGACGGUGGAUGCCUUGGCUCUCGGAGGCGACGAAGGACGUGAUAAGCUGCGAAAAGCUCGGGGGAGGCGCAAAUAGCCGUUGAUCCCGGGAUAUCCGAAUGGGGCAACCCGGCAGGCUGAAGGCCUGCCAUUCCGUAAGGGAGGCGAACGUGGGGAACUGAAACAUCUAAGUACCCAUAGGAGGAGAAAAUAAACAAUGAUUCCGUAAGUAGUGGCGAGCGAACACGGAAGAGCCCAAACCCGUGUCGUCUAGGCGAUACGGGGGUUGUAGGACCACGACGUGGCAAGAUAGAGUCAAGUGGAACGCCUUGGAAAGGGCGACCGUAGAGGGUGAUAGUCCCGUACACGACUGACGAUUGAAGCCUAGUGGCAUCCUGAGUAGCGCGGGGCACGAGAAAUCUUGCGUGAAACAGCGGGGCCCAUCCCGUAAGGCUAAAUACUCCCGAGAGACCGAUAGCGAACCAGUACCGUGAGGGAAAGGUGAAAAGAACCCCGAGCAGGGGAGUGAAAUAGACCCUGAACCCGUCUGCCUACAAGCGGUCGGAGCGUCGUAAUGACGUGACGGCGUGCCUUUUGCAUAAUGAACCUACGAGUUACCUUCCCCGGCAAGGUUAAGUUCUUGAGGAACGGAGCCGAAGCGAAAGCGAGUCUGAACAGGGCGCCAAGUCGGGGGGGGUAGACGCGAAACCGAGUGAUCUACCCUUGGCCAGGUUGAAGGUUGGGUAACACCAACUGGAGGACCGGAUGGGUAAGCGUUGAAAAGCUUUCCAAUGAGCUGAGGGUAGGGGUGAAAGGCUAAUCAAACUCGGAGAUAGCUCGUACUCCCCGAAAUGCAUUUAGGUGCAGCCUCUUUAUAGUAUAUCGUGAGGUAGAGCGACUGAUUGGAUGCGAGGGCUUCACCGCCUAUCAAGUCCAGAUAAACUCCGAAUGCGCGAUAUAUAUUUACAGGGAGUGAGGGCGCGGGUGCUAAGGUCCGUGUCCGAGAGGAGAAGAAUCCAGACCACCGGCUAAGGCCCCCAAAUGAUCGUUAAGUUGAACUAACGAGGUCGGAUCGCAGAGACAGCUAGGAUGUUGGCUUGGAAGCAGCCAUUCAUUUAAAGAGUGCGUAACAGCUCACUAGUCGAGCGAUCUGGCGUGGAUAAUAAUCGGGCAUAAACGAUCUGCCGAAGCCGUGGAUGUCGCAAGACAUGGUAGGGGAGCAUUCCAUGCCGCGUCGAAGAUGAGGGAUGACCCUUGUUGGAGCGCAUGGAAAAGCAAAUGUAGGUAUGAGUAACGAUAAGGGGGGCGAGAAACCCCCCCGCCGAAAGACCAAGGUUUCCUGAUCAACGCUAAUCGGAUCAGGGUGAGUCGGGACCUAAGGCAAAGCCGAACGGCGCCGCCGAUGGAAGAAUGGGUUAAUAUUCCCAUACUGCCUCAUGGAGUGACGUGGAGACGGAGAAGUGACAGUCCUGCCGGCUGACGGAAUAGCCGGUUGAAGGGUGUAGAUAUUGAUUCCCGUAGGCAAAUCCGCGGGGAGAGUCGAACCUGAGAGUAUACGGAGCGCUUGCGCAACGUAAUAUGGACGUAACCAUGCUCCCGAGAAAAUCCGCUAAACUUAUCCAUGCGGCACCCGUACCGUAAACGGACACACGUGGUCGGGUUGAGAAUACUGAGGCGCUCGAGUGAUUCACGGUUAAGGAACUAGGCAAAUUGACCCUGUAACUUCGGGAUAAAGGGUCCUCGUCGUAAGGCGAGGCGCAGAGAAUAGGUCCAGGCAACUGUUUAACAAAAACACAUGGCUGUGCUAAAUGGAAACAUGAUGUAUACAGCCUGACACCUGCCCGGUGCCGGAAGGUUAAGAGGAGAUGUCAUCCGCGAGGAGAAGCGUUGAAUUGAAGCCCCGGUAAACGGCGGCCGUAACUAUAACGGUCCUAAGGUAGCGAAAUUCCUUGUCGGGUAAGUUCCGACCUGCACGAAUGG
rnacentral:rRNA from 1 species